GACAGAGGGUGCAAGCGUUGUUCGGAAUUACUGGGCGUAAAGCGCACGUAGGCGGCUUCUUAAGUCGGUGGUGAAAUCCUGGGGCUCAACUCCAGAACUGCCUUCGAUACUGGGAAGCUCGAGUCCGGGAGAGGUGAGUGGAACUGCGAGUGUAGAGGUGAAAUUCGUAGAUAUUCGCAAGAACACCAGUGGCGAAGGCGGCUCACUGGCCCGGUACUGACGCUGAGGUGCGAAAGCGUGGGGAGCAAACAGG
rnacentral:rRNA from 1 species